GUGCCAGCAGCCGCGGUAAUACAGAGGGUGCGAGCGUUAAUCGGAUUUACUGGGCGUAAAGCGUGCGUAGGCGGCUUUUUAAGUCGGAUGUGAAAUCCCCGAGCUUAACUUGGGAAUUGCAUUCGAUACUGGGAAGCUAGAGUAUGGGAGAGGAUGGUAGAAUUCCAGGUGUAGCGGUGAAAUGCGUAGAGAUCUGGAGGAAUACCGAUGGCGAAGGCAGCCAUCUGGCCUAAUACUGACGCUGAGGUACGAAAGCAUGGGGAGCGAACAGGAUUAGAUACCCUGGUAGUCCAUGCCGUAAACGAUGUCUACUAGCCGUUGGGGCCUUUGAGGCUUUAGUGGCGCAGCUAACGCGAUAAGUAGACCGCCUGGGGAGUACGGUCGCAAGACUAAAACUCAAAUGAAUUGACGGGGGCCCGCACAAGCGGUGGAGCAUGUGGUUUAAUUCGAUGCAACGCGAAGAACCUUACCUGGCCUUGACAUACUAGAAACUUUCCAGAGAUGGAUUGGUGCCUUCGGGAAUCUAGAUACAGGUGCUGCAUGGCUGCCGUCAGCUCGUGUCGUGAGAUGUUGGGUUAAGUCCCGCAACGAGCGCAACCCUUUUCCUUACUUGCCAGCAUUUCGGAUGGGAACUUUAAGGAUACUGCCAGUGACAA
rnacentral:rRNA from 1 species